AUACGGAAGGUCCGGGCGUUAUCCGGAUUUAUUGGGUUUAAAGGGAGCGCAGGCUGAUUGUUAAGCGUGACGUGAAAUGUAGCCGCUCAACGGCUGAACUGCGUCGCGAACUGGCAGUCUUGAGUGAGUACGACGUCAGCGGAAUUCGUGGUGUAGCGGUGAAAUGCUUAGAUAUCACGAAGAACCCCGAUUGCGAAGGCAGCUGACGAGUCCUUUACUGACGCUAAAGCUCGAAGGUGCGGGUAUCGAACAGGAUUAGAUACCCUGGUAGUCCGCACGGUAAACGAUGGAUGCCCGCUGUUGGCGAUAUAGUGUCAGCGGCCAAGCGAAAGCGUUAAGCAUCCCACCUGGGGAGUACGCCGGCAACGGUGAAACUCAAAGGAAUUGACGGGG
rnacentral:rRNA from 1 species